rnacentral:rRNA from 1 species
UGGGAGGCUUUGAAGUGUGGACGCCAGUCUGCAUGGAGCCGACCUUGAAAUACCACCCUUUAAUGUUUGAUGUUCUAACGUGGGCCCCUUACCGGGGUUGCGGACAGUGUCUGGUGGGUAGUUUGACUGGGGCGGUCUCCUCCUAAAGAGUAACGGAGGAGCACGAAGGUUGGCUAAUCCUGGUCGGACAUCAGGAGGUUAGUGCAAUGGCAUAAGCCAGCUUGACUGCGAGCGUGACGGCGCGAGCAGGUGCGAAAGCAGGUCAUAGUGAUCCGGUGGUUCUGAAUGGAAGGGCCAUCGCUCAACGGAUAAAAGGUACUCCGGGGAUAACAGGCUGAUACCGCCCAAGAGUUCAUAUCGACGGCGGUGUUUGGCACCUCGAUGUCGGCUCAUCACAUCCUGGGGCUGAAGUAGGUCCCAAGGGUAUGGCUGUUCGCCAUUUAAAGUGGUACGCGAGCUGGGUUUAGAACGUCGUGAGACAGUUCGGUCCCUAUCUGCCGUGGGCGCUGGAGAACUGAGGGGGGCUGCUCCUAGUACGAGAGGACCGGAGUGGACGCAUCACUGGUGUUCGGGUUGUCAUGCCAAUGGCACUGCCCGGUAGCUAAAUGCGGAAGAGAUAAGUGCUGAAAGCAUCUAAGCACGAAACUUGCCCCGAGAUGAGUUCUCCCUGACUCCUUGAGAGUCCUGAAGGAACGUUGAAGACGACGACGUUGAUAGGCCGGGUGUGUAAGCGCAGCGAUGCGUUGAGCUAACCGGUACUAAUGAACCGUGAGGCUUAACCUU